CUUUCCUCAAAGUCGACUCCAUUCGAGCCCUUAAUCUCUUCCAAAUCCUCUCAUCUCUGUCUACUCACUCUCUCCUCGCAAAAUCCUCUCAUCUCUCUCUACUCACUCUCUCCUUGAGCCCUUAAUCUCUUCCAAAUCCUCUCAUUAGAUAUGGGUGUGGACUCGCAUAACAGAUCUUCAGCUACGGGUGUUGAUUCGCAUACGGUUUGUGUUGAUUCGCAUAACAGAUCUUCAGCAGAAAAAAAAGUACCACAACCAAAAACUAGGAUUACAAAAUGGCUUCUUCCUUUAGUAACAAUAGCAACAUAAGAUUGAAACCAAGAUUUUGUGAUUGUGGGAGAACAGCUGCCAUACGUAUUGUUCAAACCAAUCAGAAUGGAAAUAAAGGGCGUGUGUACUUUGUGUGUCUAUCAAAAUAUAUUAGUGAGGAACACUGCAAUUACUUCAAGUUCGCAGAUGAUGAUGACGACGAUGUGAUCUCCAAUGCUUGACCUCGUAAAUCUAUAAGAAGCGAAGAAUUUAACGAUCUAAGCACAAGGGUUUAUGAGAUGGAUAAUGAAUUUCAGGAGCCUGGUAGAAGGCUUCGAAGGAUGAAGAAGAAAUUGGAUGUCAUGCUUUAUGUCAUUGUAUUUUGUAUUGUUUUCUAUUUUAUGAUGUAAAUUACUGAGUUGAUAGCUUUUGGGGAAUUUGAUGGAUGUACUUAUGGAUUGAAUGGACUUGAAUGGACUUGAUAACUUGAAUGGACUUCUAUUUUCAAUUAUUGUUGAUAGGUUGAAUUUCUUGUUGAA